AUACUCCUCCCUCCGUCCCAAAAUUCUUGUCUUAGAUUUGUCUAAAUACGGAUGUAUCAAGUCACGUUUUAGUAUUAGGUACAUCCGUAUCUAGACAAAUCUAAGACAAGAAUUUUGGGACGGAGGGAGUAAUAG
rnacentral:pre_miRNA from 1 species